CAGAAGUCUAGUUGCAGCCACUGAAAAAACUCUUAUCACUAAACUUGAGGAACCAGGGCUGAAUGGCUGACCACCCUGACCAUGAACAUCUGGAAUUUAGGUUGCUCUGCUGGACAUAGAUAUUUGUGGACCAUCAAUCCCUAAAAUAAUGGGUAUAGAGGGAGAAGAGGUUCACUUGAGUGGUUCUGGAUGGUCUCCGGUGGUAAGUCAGUGAGUAUGCUGAAGAAAACUUAAGUGUCAUGUCAGUGGGGUUCUUGCUCAGUGGUCCUGAUGAUGCUGUUAUCUGGAGAAGACCCCCCAAAAUGGUCUGUAGCUCAAGUAUUUUCAUUGUUGUUGAUUGUUGCAUCGAGGAGCAUAAAUUAUUACAGCGUAGACAGUGCUUUCUUUUUUCCAUAUCAAACUUGGUUUGUUGGAAAAGAAGUUAUUCUUAGCAUUUCCUUUCACUAUAAGAUGUUUCUUAUAUUGAACUGAGCUCUCUAACAUAAUCAGAACUUAGUUAAGAUUGGCUAGAUGGAAACUAAGGAGUCUAUAUUUGAUAAAAUAUUAUUGCAUGCAUGCUACUGUUUAAAAUGUAUAUUUUAUACUUUUUUCACACUUGGGCAUAUAUCUGUAGUUUAUUGCCCAGUGUUAACAGGGGUCUAAUGAACUUUCUGAAUAGGCAUUGAUAUUGAUCAUAUUAUAAAAAAGAUUCCUAAAUUGAUUGCAUAUCUGAAAGAAAUCUCAAUAUUCAGCAUCAUAAUUUUCAAGUUACCUGAUGUUCAGUGGGUUUUUUUUUAAUGAAUAUAGGUAGCAACACUGUCUUAUUUGGUUAAUAAUUCACCCUUUAAAAUGUAUAGUUUGUUUUAAUAUCCUUUUGUGCAUAAAAGAAAACUGGAAGGAAGCAGACCAUUUGAUUAUGGCAAUAGACAAUAUUCUUUUGAGCCAGUUUUGCUGAUAAACCUCUGUAAUAAAACUGCUCAUACUUUUUUCAGAACUUAACGUGUGAUUUCCAUGUUACUGUGGAUUUAAAAUUACUUUGUUUUAGCCCUUUCGAUCUGACAUCCCAUUGCUUUCUGCUUACAUUUUCUACUAAAUUUUCUGAAAUAGAAUGUACCUAACUUUUGAUUGAUAAAACUCAAUUCUAGUUUGACAGUGCAUAAGUUAAAAUAUAGAGAAAUUUGAGUAAAAUGCUCUGUUGGAAAUAUAACUUAAGGUGCAGAUCUUUUUGAACAGUGAUUCUGUACUGAUAUUGUGAGAGUCCAGGAUUGUUGUAUCCAGAACCUUCUAUAUUUAAAAUGAUCAACUGAAAAGCUGGUGAUUUCUAAGUAUCAGCCUUGCACAUGAUGGGAUCUGAGAGUAAAACUGAAUUAUUUACUUUAUGGCAUCACUACCAAUAAUGAAACUUCUGCAGGUAAAAUUAUGGCUUCAGUGAUAUCUUUUAUCGCUUGCCAUAGAUGGGAGUUUUACAGAUAUAACUGAUUGGAACUUGCUAAAUAAUUCCGAUACAUGUGAAAUAAUAGAAUCCACCUCCCUCAUCUGUGUUGGCUCUGCAUUGUUAACAGAAGUAAAAAUAUAUAUUUGUUGAAGUCAAACACAGAGCAGGUAUUUUGAGUGAAACGGUACCAUUUUACAUACUCUCCUUGCUGAAUAGAUCCAGGCUUUGAGGUUGAGUGUGGCUGCAGUAAUAUUUCAGGUAAUAUUUUAUCAUAGAAUAGAUUCUCAAAGUGCCUUUCAGACUUUUUAAAUAACAGACCAAAUUCUGAAUGUCUCACUCAAGCUUUUGGCUCCUUUAAGUUUACAGUGGAGAUUGAGGAAACUGUGCACACUUGCUAUUUUCUAGCUUGUAUGUUUCUAAAUUUCAAAUUUGUUGUUCACUUUGCAUCUGUUUUUAGGAAUGAUCAAACAAUUUCUUUGUGAUGUGCAGUGGGGUGAAAUUGAUUACCUUAUUGUGGAUACACCUUCAGGUACUUCAGAUGAACAUUUAUCUAUUGUGCAUAUCUAAAUUCCGCAUACAUAAUCACUACCCCUCAGGUAAGAGAAGUACUGCUACAAAUGUAAUACCAGUUAAUCAAAUCUUUGCUUUGGAACACUUAUUAACUUUACAGACAAGACCAUGUCAAUCAACUAUAGCAUGUAGGUAGAAAGGAAUGUCUCUCCACGGAAGAAAAUGAUUUAACUCAGCCAAUUGGCUUCAGAAUCUUCUUCCUGCCAUUUAGGACCCAUGCCCAGCGUGACCCAUUCAUCACAACCAAAUUAUUGGAUGCUAAUCCGUAGAGAACAAAUAAUUUUCUCAUUUAAAUUACAUUAUGUUGAACCUGUAUACAGCUCUCUGGCAUGUUAUAGACUUCAGAGUCCUUUGCCUUCAGGAACUUGCAAUACUGUUCACUUACAGGUGGUGUUAGGAGGGAACUUAGUAAGGAGUGAUAACAUUAGACAGCAAGACAAUACUAGUGAUGUUCGAAUGGGGGAGAAUCAUGGUGAGCUUUUUUUAUUUUUAUUUUUUAAGGAAAAUAGAACCUCUGUGGUUUAGUAUAUUUUUCCUUCUUGAGGUGUGUAUAAUGUGUCUUUUUUUGGAGGGGUGGGAGUGAGGGCUUUUUGUUUGAAGUCAGGCACCAGAGCUGAGAUUAGUGGCAGAAGUCUAACUAAAUCAAAGGUACGUUAUUUGUGGGUAAUUUGAAGAAAUGGGAGAAGAGGCCAAUUGUGCAGGAAGAGACAGUUUUACAGGAGUAGGAGCAACAAGAAAAUGUCCAAAGGCACAAGUGGAAUACUGAGUAGGGAGCAGAAUGCAAGGUAUGUGGUGGGAGGGAGUAGAAGGAAAUGAGGUCAGCCAUGUGCAUGAGAAGGGUGAGGAUUAGGGAGUGGUGUUAGAAUUUACUUUGGAAAGAGUGAGUAAACCCGUUCCCGCACAUCUUCAACACCUUCACCAGAUUAGUUUUUUGAUGUCUUUCUGUAAACUAACAGUAGAUGCAAAAGUAAUAUUUGCAUAAUCCAUUCUAUUUAAAGAAUACUUGCCACUGAAGAUAGGACAUGAAGGCAGGCAAUAUGCAUAAAGAUGCUUGAUCCCAUGCCAGAAUUGUUGGACAGGUUUAAAGAUGUUGGAAGCUAAGCUGGUUGAAUAAAGAUCUAAAAAGCUUGAUAAUCUUUGGUCAGUCUCGAAACAGAAGAUACCUUAACUGAAUAAACCACACAAUAGGUUAUAUGUUUAAUCUGAUGGUGGAAAACAUGCUCAGAAUGUGAAGAGAAGUCAGCAAGAAUUCAGUAAGCGCUCUUGUAACAGUUGCUUGAAAGAUUUGGACAAGGAAAGCUUGCUUUGUAGGGGAAACCCACAGAUGGAAAAAGUCCAGUACAUGUGGACUGACAAAGUAACAUUUGCCUUUGAUAGGAAAUAUCACUUCAGAACAUUUGAAAGGAGAUCAACUUCUGUCAUAAGGUAAAACUGCCAGUCAUAGGUGGUGUUGAAAAUAUGAGUGGCUUUGUAUGCCCAAAAUGUAAGGUAAGACUAUCUAAAAAUAUUUUAACUCGUCUUAAUAUACACACUCCAAAUGUAUAUAUGUUUUGUGUUGACCAUGAGGGAAGGGAAAGGAUUUACUUAUCAUGGCACAAAUUUGCUUGAUCUCCUGAGUAAAGUCAUUCAUUAAAAAAUCCUUUUUGUAGUAGUACAGGAAAAAAUCCUGUUUCUGUUGGUGAAAACAGUAUCAAGCUCUUUAUAUACGUACUGUUGUCCUUAGAUAGUUACAAAAGGUGCUUUCCUGAGGCCAAGGACUAGUUUUGUAGGUUCUUUUAAGGAGCCAGGACAUUGUAUAAAAAUAGCAAAUUUGAAAUGGAGGGUUCAGCCACACAGCGGGAUGUUACACAUUAGACAUCCAUAUUUGAAUGAUAGACCUACUUUAAGAUCUGUGUUUAACAACUCUGUCUUAAAUGCUCCUGUUAAGAGGAGCCACUGGCUGGCAUCUCUGGAUCAAUGAUGUGGGAUGUUGCAGCUCCUGUGAUGUAGGAAACUUCUGAAGUGCUGUGUGUUCAAGCACUAUUGCACCCUCCCUUCUUGUUUAGUUUUGCUUCUAAAAGCUUACACAAACAUUUAGAUGUUUCUGCAUUACUAACCAUUUCCUUUAGAUGCUGAACUCCUGAUAACUCUAUUACAUAAGUGAGCUACACCAACUGCUUUUGCUUCAGAACUUCCUUGGCAUUUUCAGCAUGUGAAAGUACAAACUGGGAGCACUGUGGAAUGGGGUGUAGCUACACUGUGUACCUUAAUCAUUUUCUAAAAACAUUCCCAUACCCGAUUGUAUGUUCCAGUCAUGAUAAACAUGGAGUCUGAGGAUUGGGCUAGGAAGGGAACAAGAUUACAAAUUACAUGUUACUGACCCAAUCAGGGAAGAACUGAAGGAUGGUAGUGCAUUAGUCUGCAUGUUUGAAUGGUCAUUAUCAGCUGGUCUUGGGAACGUGAGUCCAUGGUUUUCAGGUGAAUUUCUUGGCAUCAACCUAUUACUCAUUUGAACACAUCCUCAAAGCAAUGUGAGUGCUUAAAAAAUCAGACAUAAUCAUCAGUCUCUGCUCAAGAAUCCCAGGUCUUGGAAAGAAUUAGGUUUUUGCAGGUCAGAAUUAAAGAAUAUUUAUACCUUUUGGCUAAUCACACUGUCUGCUGUCAAAUCCCUCACUCUUGUAAAUUUAAAUUCUAACCCCCAAUUUUAAAAUUAGGAUUAUGUAUAUACCACAAUAAAUAUCUUGGGGGAAUAGUAACCUAAAUUAGACGAAUAGAGGGAAAAUGUAUUAGAAAUGGUACUUGUGAUUUAUAUAUGCACCUAAAAUGCUCUUAAUGGGCAGAAAUGAUUUGUGUGAAAGCUUAGGACAAAUGUUUUAACUGUGUAGACCACCAAUGUACUUAGUGGUAGUAUGCCAGCAAACUACCAUACACAGCCUACCCACAAUAUGUGGUCCUGUUUUAAUUGGGAUUUCAAUAAGUGAUGUUUGGAAAAUGCCACUAAACAAAACUGAAGAAAUGUUCUCAAAAUGAUCUUUUCUGGAGUCGUCUUGUAUUACUUGUCCUUUUUUUUUUUAAUUACAGAUUGAAUCUCAAAUCUUUCCUCCAACAACUGGAGGAGCAGACAUGAUGUGCCAAAAUUUAAAUAUUUCUUUCCUGGGUAAAGUGCCCCUAGAUCCUCAGAUAGGAAAGGUUGGCAAAUUACAUAAUAAAAAGCAACAAUGUGCUUGCCAUUACUUUAGGGUUAUUUUUGGCAUAUCAGCUAUGUGUUAGACUUAUUCACUGUGAUAAACACAGAACACGGUGUCCAAUAGCUGACUCUCUUUUAGAAUGAAAAGUCCUGUAAAUAUAGUUUGUGGAACUGUGAUAAUAUGGUUUGGUCUGAAAUAAGUAAAAUGAUGAGAGAACUUCCUGCUUAGGCUGACAUGAUUACUAUUUAAACCUUUCACCUUUAUUAACAUGACUAAUUUAGAGUGUGCGAUUUUUUUUGAAAAAAUGCUCCUUUGCAUUGGAUUAAACCAUACCACAAGGAAGACUAAAAUCUUGUAACAUCAAGUUUUGAUGUAGUUAAAACUAGAGCUUCUAUAACAACUGAAAAAAUGCUAGGUGUAUGAAUUUAGUUGGAUUUUUUCAGUGAAUAAUUAGCUAUAUGAAAAGAAAAGAGCUAGUAUGUAAAGAACCAAGUUACCAGUAGAUAAUAUAUGCUAAUCUACACUGUAUUGAGUGUAAAGCAAGAUCAUCUUGAUGCUACACUUCAUGGAAUUAAGGAACAGCAUCCCAUAUAGAUGGAAGGAUGGUAUAGACAAGGCAUGUGUAUAGACUUCUAAAUCUAGGAAAACCUAGGAUCUCAAUCUGAAAAACUACAUUGUUCUGCUACUUAGUUCUAAUAGCUAUCUAUAAGAAAAUAGGUACCAUGCUUCAUUUAUAUGUUACUGACACAGGAAGAACUUAAGCCCUUGGUUCACUGGACUGGUACAGCAAUUUUGGGGAGCUACAUUUCAGGCAAUUUUUGUUUUUGUUUGUUUUCCUGCAUCACAAGGGUUUUAGCUUUUUUUUUUUUUUUUUUAUUUUUUAGGGAAAAGUUGUGAUAAAGGCCAAUCUUUUGUGUCUGAAAUACCUGAGUCCCCAGCUACUUCAUCUUACAGGAAUAUCAUCCAAAGGAUUCAAGAAUAUUGUGGCCUACACAACUCACAAGAAAAAUUAUCUAACCAAGGAAUGGAAUAAAUAUGCAGUUAAUUACAGGAAAGCAACAAUUGUGUCCUGAAUUGAGAAGAAGAAUGUAAAGACUUAUACUCCUUUUCUAUAUUACAAGUAAAUAACUUUUAAGUUAAUGUCCUUGCUUAAUUACCUGUUCUUAUUGUGUGCAAUCACCAUAAUAUUUGAACACCAGCUAGUCCAUCUGCUGUCUCAAAGCUUUAUUAUAAGUUUAUAGAAAUGUCAUUA